UCUGAAGCAGGCUCCAGGCUCUGAGAAGUCAGCACAGAGCCCAACGCGAGGCUGGAACUCACAGAUGGUGAGAUCAUGACCUGAGCCACAGUCAGAUGCAUAACAGACUGAGCCACCCAGGCACCCCUGAGUCUAGCAUUUCUGAAUAAGGUGGGAUGUGUGAAAUUCCUCAGGAAGGCCCAGAUGUUUUCAGUUUAGCCCUCUUAGAGGCCCUGUGGGGACCUGAAGAAAGCUCUAUGUAGAUAGACCACCUUCCAACAAAACAUACAGACCUACGGUAUUCUGAUGACUGUGUUAGGGGAGGGCGGGCGUCUCUAGCACCUCCCCCAAAAGCCUUCAGGAUAAAAACUUGCAGACUCUUUGUUCAUUGUUUAACCAAACCUAGCUGUAAUAUGUGCUCUGCAGAUGUUUGCAACUGGAAUGGCUGUGUUUUCAAGGAAAUGGUUGUCUGUUCAACUGGGAGUGGGGGCCACAGGCAGAAAAAUGUGUGAACAAGGCAUCUGCCUCUGGGCAGGGCUCCAGCUGGGACCCUGGUCCCAGCUCUGCCAGCAGCUCCCUCGAUGCCCUGGACAAGUCCUUUCCCCUCAAAAGGACUCAGUUUCCACAUGUGGAGAAGGAGCGUCCUUGGAGGUCCCACCCAUGUCAGUCUAGUUUGGAUUAUUGGCCGCGGGGUGGGGGGGUGGGGUGGGUAUACUUUGCCCCUGGUGACCAGAGGUGUGGGCCUGCAUCCUCUCUCCUGGGAGCAGCCGAGUUUGGGGCAUGGAAUGAGCUUUCUUCCUGACAUGAGGCCAAGGCCAUCGCCUGAUCAGAGGGACCUGUGUGGCAUCACCCUUGGUGCCUCAGGGGGGCAGGGACAGAACCUUGAAAUUUGGGCAAGGCCUCUAGCACCCAUUGACUCCGGAUCUGCAGUCAGAAGGCAGGGCUUACAGUAGUGAGUUGGUGGCUGAUUCUGAAUUCUGUAUUUCUUGGGGCACAUCGUUUCAGGAAUCAGAACUUCCAUUUGCUGGGGGCUACUCUGUGCCGUACCCUGUGUGUACAGGUAACUUUCUGAGGAGCAGAUAAGAAUGCCGAGGAAGACUCUAUAACCAGGCUUUCCGACAAACCUGGUCCUGAUGAUUCAUGGCCUACAUCAGCUAGCCAAGACUUCAAUUUUGGUACCAAGAAUGUCCCGAAACCACGCGUAGCAAAGCUACUGCAUUCUUCUUGGCAAUUCAUGAAAAACAUGAGAGCAAAACGUGGCACUGUGACACCAGAAGGUGGAACCUUAACUGAGGACAACAGUCCUGAUUCUGAAAAUAAAGAUAUGGCUGAAACUCUUUCCAAACCACCAGCCAGAGUUUAUGGCGAUCCUCUUCCUGUUUUACCAUCAUCUAAAUCUCUUCUGAAACCUUCUCUCAAGACGCUAGCUGUCCUUGGUCUUGCAAAGGAAGGAACAGCAAAGUCAGCAAUGGAAGCAAAGGAAGAUGGUGCUGGUAUUAUUUAAAAUGUGCCACUGGAACAAACAGUUAAUGACAGUUUGACUUCUGCUGGUGGAGUGCAUAAAAAUUACAGAAGUGAUACGAUGUCAGCAUUAGAAUUAGGAGAAGAGGAAGAUGUACAAUCACCUUCUCUUCCUGAGAGUAUGUCUGAGAAUCCCAACAAACAUGUUCCUCGGAUCUCUGGAGCUGUGGAUCAGAAAGUGCAAAGUAUAUUAAAUGGACAAGUAGAAGGUAAGAACUGUAUUUUAUUCAAAGGUCAUUUGACAGAAUGUUGAUUUAAAACAGGAAUACUGAUAUAUACUAAUAUCUCAAGAAAACCGCCUGUUAAGUGCAUAGGAAAGAGAAAGAGAUGUCAAAAGGAGAUGAGUUGUAUAUCUUAUGUGGUGUCAGCAACAGAUUAAAUUGAGAGUGCCACCAAAGGAGCUAAAUGACUAGUUCCGUUUCAAGAUACUGGAAGACCUAAGGAACCUCAGGAAAUAAGAAAAGAGCCAAAGAGGGAAUGAUGAGAACGGCAGAGAGUACAGGGAGUAAAUGAAGGAAAGUAAGCCAGUGUGUAUUGUGUUUCUACUGGAAGGUGGUAAAAUACACUAGUUCUUUAAAAGGAAGAGCAGACUAUUUGAAAGGCAGCAACACUAUCAGGUGAGCUUCUAGUACCAUAAUUUGUCAGAGUAGUAUCCCAAAAUGUUCCCACUCUUACUGUUAACCUCACUGUUGGGAAGACAUUAAGGACUGACCUAGCUGAUGAUGCAGAGUUAUGUCCUAACUACCAUGGAUGAACAUAAGCAUUUGUAGUCAGCGAUAAAUGUAUAUACGUUAAUACCACAUAAAAUUGGGAUACUUCAUAUGGUAGUAUCAUUUACGGCAAAAUAAGAGACCUGGAAGGAGGGUCAGAUAGGGAGACAUCAAGAUACCUCAUCUGACAUUUUGGGUGCGGGAUUUGUGACUUUGGAUUAUUUUGGCAAUAAGUGCCUUUAAUAGGUGAACUGUAUUUUUCAUUUUUUUAAGAAAUUAAGGAAAAGAAACAAAAAAACUAAUCAGUAGUAUGUUUUUAUACUCUGUCUGAUAGUUCUGAUUGUUCUACAGUGAUCCCUGUUACUUUUUUGAUUCCUAUCUUCCAGAAACAUGAACUGAGUCCUAGUUAGCAAUCAUAUAGCAAUAUCCUCCAAAUAAAGGCUGAAUUUAAUGAACGUAACAUGGUCUACAACUAGAUAUCCUUCCCUUACGGAAAACUCUUUUGUCUGAAGAAGAGGGGAUAUCACUACAUCUAAGGCACUGCCUGACGAGAUCUUGCUUAUUAUGUAAAAGCUGUGACACCAUGGCCAUAGCUGAUACCCACCCUAAAAUCUCUGAUGGUAAAAACAAGGGACUAGUUACCACUGCACUAAUUGUUUUGUUAGCACUAGUGGUCAAACAUAUAAAGGCAAAUGCUUGGACUAACCUGGGUUCUUAAGAAAACCCUAAAUUAGAGUUCUGACAUCAUUACCUUUGACAUUCUGAGUUGAUCUGCCCUAGGAUCUGUGUCUUCAUCUCAGUGCUGCUGAGGAACCAGAGAAUGGAUGUGGAAGCUACACAGGCUGACAGGCAAAGCCCCUCAGCUACCCAUUAACUAUGGAAUCAUGAGUCGAGUAAUCAACCUCCCUGAACCACACUUGCCAAAGUAAUAAAAAGUAGGCUACAAUAACACAGCUACGUUGCAAAGCUAUACAAUGACUAUAUAACUGAAUAGAUGUUAUGCAUAGGAUACAGUGUCUAGUCCAGGGUAGAACACUCAACAACUGCUUUUUUUCUCUGCAUUCCCUUAGGAAACCAUAAUUUUCAGUCCAUUCAUUUCAUUUCCUUUCCUUUCAUUUUCCAUUUCAUUUCAUUUCAUUCCUUUAUACUUUGAGAGUGAGUG